UACGGAGGGUGCAAGCGUUAUCCGGAAUCACUGGGUUUAAAGGGUGCGUAGGCGGCUAUAGUAUCAGUUGUGAAAUACCUCGGCUUAACCGAAGGAAGUGCGAUUGAUACUGCGUAGCUUGAAUCAGGUUGAGGUAGGCGGAAUGUGACAUGUAGCGGUGAAAUGCUUAGAUAUGUCAUAGAACACCGAUUGCGAAGGCAGCUUACUGGGCUUUGAUUGACGCUGAGGCACGAAAGCGUGGGGAGCAAACAGG
rnacentral:rRNA from 1 species